GUCUGUUUGCAAAGCCUGUGCCGAAAUGCCAUUGAUUUACCAAAGAAUCCACAGUUAAAUACUGAAUACUUGUCAUGAUCACCAGUUUGAGUGUCCUGGUUAGCCACCAGAGGGCACUCCACCCCGGACCAUUGCCUCACCACUUCGGACUUCAUUUUCCAUAACCCACUUCCCGGACUCAUUAUCACUUCAUUGCACCCAGCUAUCUUGUAUUAUGUUAUUAGUGUCUGUCUAUUUAUACUGAGUUUGUUUCUGCCUUUGUUGUCGAGUUUUAGCUAUUGUUACAUGCAUGUCUGAGCACACUGGAUUCUUGUUUUGCUGUUUCAUUGUUUGUUUUCUGGCUUCAUGUGUGGACUGUUUAUAUGAAGUUUGACUAUUGCAUGGAUGACUACGAUUUUGGAUUACCCUUAUUAAAGCUGCAAUUGGAUCUAACCCGCAAGUCUCAGUGCAUACGUGACAAUACUAAUAAAUAAAACUCAACUGAGACAUUCACAUUCACAUAGCAUUAGGAUCCUUUGAAAAGUAAUGUUAUUUUAUAUCGCUCUUCUUUUGUCCUCAUCUCACUAACACGCCAGUGGGCGGGGCUAAUGUUGCAAUGAUGAAGUAGGCCUUGAAUUCUUCUGCAGAGGCGGAGUUUCACUUAUCAUAGAUAGGCACAUUCCAGGAUCAGUCAUUCUCUGGGUCUGGUGUCAGUAAAAGCUUUUAUUGGACUAACAAGGAAGUUUUCAGUCCUGAAACUUACAGAAUAUUCUUAUAGUAUGAUGACCUCAUAUAUAUCAAAAGCUCAAUGAAAAGUUGAUUUCUCAAUUCAUGAUCCCUUUAAAUGUCCACUGAAGUUCCUUGGAACGCACAGCAUUAUUCAUUGUGUUGAUGUAAUUUCCAAUGAAACAGGAAGACAGGGCAGGACAUCGAACAGCUCCUCUUCUUUUUAAAAUAUCCAAUAGUGUUUUGUUUAUAUCACAGUUCGGCCAGAGCUGUUGAAGCCUCAGUUUCCUCCUAAUCUCUAACAAUUUCUCCUCCUAAUCUCAUCCAUAUCACUUUAAAUGACAGCAUUCUGUGCAGAAUUCAAAUAUGUCCGAUAUGUUUUGUGGUCUGCGCGACUCGUGGAUAUGAUCCGGUCUAUGCUGAUGUGUUUCUGGACCGGAGCAGACUGUGCUUGCGCUGGGCAGUUCGCAUGACACUAACAUGAAACCAGACUUCAUUCGCCUCAAUGGAAAGCAUAUUUACACUGUCUGAAUCGUUCCCUAUCCCCUAUAUAGUGCUCUAUGUGCCAUUCACCAUGUAGAAACUAUGACCGAUUUCAGCCGCAGCUUCAGCGUCUAUUUAUAAUGUAGGGGGCGGGACUUCAGAUUCUAGAGAGCAUUUGAUUGGACAUAAAAUCUGAUGAGAAGCUGAAGUCCGCAGUGAUGUCAUAAAAAUCAUUGAUCCAACUGAUGAGGUAUGAAUGUGUAAUCUAUGUUGCAGAACAAAAUGGGAAAGUAUCUUCAAAUAAAGGAGGACUGAGGUAAAAUCUACAAUGCCUGGUUUUUAAACAUCAUUUUCAAGAAGAAGUAACAAUUUUAUUCAAUCUGUGGUAAAUUUACUAAAAAAAAGUGAAUGUGAAGAAGGAGAAGAUUCAGAUGUUACAGUUUGCCUUACAAGUGAGCCUUACCUCAUGAAGCAUUUUCCCUCAAAUGGCUGUGCCUCAAAGAAACAAUCUGUUCUCCUGGACUUCCUCUUUUAAUAGAAAUCUGAGUGAUGGUGCAUGAACAGGAAAUCUGCAGCGAGAACACCACAACAAAAGCAGCCGUCUCCAGUGUUUUCUCAGCAGAACAGAUUUGCGGGGCUGUUUUCUUGUGCCCUCGGUGAUGUUGUGGCCAGGAUGCACCUGCGUGUGGAAGCUGAGGGAAGGAAGCGAAUCAAGGAAGCCUCGCUGUUCUUUCUCAAGGCCUUCAGCGGUGGAUGAGCUCUCGCCCUCCUAUCUACACCCCGGUAAGUUAAGGAAACAACCACUGGCCCGUGUCUGCAUAGCAUAUGGAGAAUCACACCGGGAGGAAGUCAGUACAAUACUCAUUUCCAAGAGCUCAACAAUCGCCUGCUAAUAAUGAAGGACACAAUACAUAAACAACCAGUGAUUCCCAAGCCGUUUCGUAAGCAUUUGUACACAAACGCAGACACUUCGGUCAUUCUCUCAAGGCACGGAACAGUCUGUUCCCUUUGGUUAAACAUGUUUGUUAGAGAUUUAGGACCAGAUUGGUGGGGAAACAGAGGAUAGGGAGGAUCAAUGUCCUGGCUUAAACCACAGCGCCUUGUUCUCCGUCUCGAUGCUUUGAUCGGGGCCGUAUCUCUGUACCUGUGCUCUCGGAUCCGUGUUAUUCAAUUACAUUUGAGCUGAUUCCAAAUGAGAAAGAGAGAAGCCAAGAAAAAAAAGUGCAUUUUCAUGCUGCCGCGGAAGAACGGUGUCUUGCCGUCUAACAUUGAUUUCCAAUACGACAGUCCUAACAUGUCUAGAUACACUAAAACAGGGCAAGAUUAGUCCAAACCGCCCUAUCACGCUAUUUGAAGCAAAGAUCAGGGAAUGCAUUAUCCAUUAUCUAAAAAAGCCACUUAAAGAUCGUUGACCUUAAUGGAAGAAGUGCAGUAUGGAGUUUCUCUACAAUAUUUGCACUUGAUUUGAUCCAAGCUAUAUAUAUACACAAGGGGUGUAAAGGCCCCGGUAUACUUCAAACGAAAUCGAAGAACGAACUGAUGUGACGUCAUUUCAAACAAAAUCAGGCCAAAACGAAGUUCGUUUUGU